AUUGAACGCUGGAGGUAUGCUUAACACAUGCAAGUCGAACGCGAACGUUUCUUCGGAAACUAGUAGAGUGGCGGACGGGUGAGUAACGCGUAGGAAUCUACCCAAGUGUGGGGGAUAACAUGGAGAAAUUCAUGCUAAUACCGCAUACGCCCUACGGGGUAAAGAGGGCCUCUUCUUGAAAGCUCUUGCAUUUGGAUGAGCCUGCGUCGGAUUAGCUAGAUGGUGGGGUAAUGGCCUACCAUGGCGACGAUCCGUAGCUGGUCUGAGAGGAUGAUCAGCCACACUGGGACUGAGACACGGCCCAGACUCCUACGGGAGGCAGCAGUGGGGAAUAUUGGACAAUGGGCGAAAGCCUGAUCCAGCAAUACCUCGUGUGUGAAGAAGGCCCUAGGGUUGUAAAGCACUUUCAAUUGGGACGAAGGUUGUAAGAUUAAUACUCUUAUAACUUGACGGUACCUUUAGAAGAAGCACCGGCUAACUCCG
rnacentral:rRNA from 1 species